GAUGAACGCUGGCGGCGUGCCUAAUACAUGCAAGUCGAGCGAACAGACGAUGAGCUUGCUCCUCUGACGUUAGCGGCGGACGGGUGAGUAACACGUGGAUACCCUACCUAUAAGACUGGGAUAACUUCGGGAAACCGGAGCUAAUACCGGAUAACAUGUUGAACCGCAUGGUUCAAUAGUGAAAGACGGCCUUGCUGUCACUUCUAGAUGGAUCCGCGCUGCAUUAGCUAGUUGGUAAGGUAACGGCUUACCAAGGCAACGAUGCGUAGCCGACCUGUGAGGGUGAUAGGCCACACUGGAACGGAGACACGGUCCAGACGCCUACGGGAGGCAGCAGUAGGGAACCUUCCGCAAAGGGCGAAAGCCUGACGGAGCAACGCCGCGUGAGUGAAGAAGGUCUUCGGAUCGUAAAACUCUGUUAUUAGGGAAGAACAGAUUUGGAAGUAAAUGUGCACGUAUUGACGGUACCUAAUCAGAAAGCAACGGCUAACUACGUG
rnacentral:rRNA from 1 species